rnacentral:rRNA from 1 species
UGGGGAAUUUUGGACAAUGGGCGAAAGCCUGAUCCAGCAAUGCCGCGUGUGUGAAGAAGGCCUUCGGGUUGUAAAGCACUUUUGUCCGGAAAGAAAUCCUUGGCUCUAAUACAGUCGGGGGAUGACGGUACCGGAAGAAUAAGCACCGGCUAACUACGUGCCAGCAGCCGCGGUAAUACGUAGGGUGCAAGCGUUAAUCGGAAUUACUGGGCGUAAAGCGUGCGCAGGCGGUUUGCUAAGACCGAUGUGAAAUCCCCGGGCUCAACCUGGGAACUGCAUUGGUGACUGGCAGGCUAGAGUAUGGCAGAGGGGGGUAGAAUUCCACGUGUAGCAGUGAAAUGCGUAGAGAUGUGGAGGAAUACCGAUGGCGAAGGCAGCCCCCCGGGCCAAUACUGACGCUCAUGCACGAAAGCGUGGGGAGCAAACAGGAUUAGAUACCCUGGUAGUCCACGCCCUAAACGAUGUCAACUAGUUGUUGGGGGACUUCAUUUUCCUUAGUAACGUAGCUAACGCGUGAAGUUGACCGCCUGGGGAGUACGGUCGCAAGAUUAAAAC